GGGCCGUUAGCUCAGCUGGUAGAGCAUUGGCCUUUUAAGCCAAGGGUCGCUGGUUCGAAUCCAGCACGGCUCA
rnacentral:tRNA from 1 species